AUUUAUGAAUAUUAUAUUUAUAAAUAUUUUCUUCUCUAUCGUAACAGGGACUCAACCAUCUCCAUCAAAAUGGAGCUCUGCACAGGGAUAUUAAGAGCCUCAAUAUUAUGCUCACCAAGAAGGCUUAAGUAAAACUGACCUCUGUUAGGAACUGGACCCGGUCACUGGAAAGUGUCACGAAGCUGACAAGACCCCUCAGUUUAUGGCUCUGGAGAUUUUUAAGAAGAAGGGACAGACACUGAAGUCUGAGGAGUUUUAAUAAUUUUUAGCAGCAUCUCUGCAGAAGAACCCCAGCGAGAGAUGAAGUACCAAAGAUCUUCUACAACUCCCAUUCAUAAUAGGGCUGCCUGCAACCAAAUCAAUCCGGGCAGAAAUUAAAGAGCACCGUAUUUGUCUCAAAACAGCUGAGAAAGGUGAAGGGAUCCAUUUGUUAAUGUAUGGUUAUGAUUUGCCUGCUGGACUUUUUCCUCUGACCCCAUCUAAAAAAAUGCUCUGUUUUAUUCCAUAUAUUUUAAUAUUAUUCUGUUUGUAUCUACAGUAUAUAGAUGUGUGCUCUUUAGAGAUGGAGGAACCUGUGCCCAAGAUUGUGACUGCUCCAGAACAUCAGCCAGCCACUCCUUCUAGCUCUGGGGUUCCCUGGCACGAGUCUGGAAACAUCUAGUGCUCCAUGGGUACU